CCUCAGCCCAGCUGCAGUUGGCGAUCUCCUUGUACUGCGCCUUGACCUCAGCGAUGAUGCUGUCCAUAUCAGGGAGCAGCUGUUGUCCAUGGACAGCACCACAGGCAUGUCCAAGAUCUGGGACCGCAGCUC
rnacentral:miRNA from 1 species